rnacentral:lncRNA from 1 species
UUCUCCAUGGGGGCUGCCGAAUGUGUCAGGGAGCCAUAGCUGGGGUUUGUUCAAGCUUCCAAGCUCAUAGUCAGUGCAUCUUAGCCCCGUUUUUAAUAUUCUUCGCAUUUUUGAAAUUCUCGUAGCUCGGUUUAGCUUAUUCUACCAUUAAUUCACGGUAGGGUGCAUAUUUGGAAAAAUACCCAGAGGUGAAAUGUGUUUAUUUUGCUGUUUUAUGGUAGAAUAUGAAGCUAGAAUUUAUGAUAAACAACUUUUACUAAGUGAUUUUAAGUAAAACCGGGUAAAUUGACAUAAUCGGUAAAAAUAUUUAUUGUUCAUAAGUGUAUGUUAGAGUGAGAAUUUGAUGUUUCUAUAGAAGGGAAAAGUGUUCAGCAUGUUGUAAAACAUAAGAAUAAGGUGUGAAAUUAAAUUUUCGAGCCUAGGGACGUAAAUGGAAAUAUACAAAAGUUUAGGGGCAAAAUUGUAAUUUUGCCAAAGUUUGAGUCAAGGACUGUUUUGAUAAAUGUGAGUACUCAAUAAGUCAAUUGUGUUAUUAUAGAUCAAGAAAGAAGUGGAAUCGACCUUGACCGGAGAAAAGAAAAGAUUAAAGACUAAAUUGCUAAAAUUUUAUAUUGUUGCAUCCAAGUAAGUUAUGUAUAAAUAAUAGAUAUUUUUAUAAAUUGUGAAUUAUGUUUGACAUGUGAAUUAAAUUUGAAUUGAGAUGAUGUAUUAUUUUAUAUAUAAAUUUGUUAUCUAAUCAUGCCUUUAUGCAAGUACGAGAUUAGAUUGAAGGAUCAAUCGUGAGAAAUGCAGGGUCAAGUACAUUCGUACUACAACUCGUAAUGAAUUGACAGAAAAGACCAUGGUUGGACCAUGGCAGUGAGUGUGCCAGUGUAAGACCAUGUCUGGGACAUGGCAUCGGCUCAAUAUGAGAGUUAGUGUAAGACCAUGUCUGGGACAUGGCAUCGGCUCGAUAUGAGAGUCAAUGUAAGACCAUGUCUGGGACAUGGCAUCGCUCGAGAUGAGAGUCAGUGUAAGACCAUGUCUGGGACAUGGCAUCGGCUCAAUAUGAGAGUCAGUGUAAGACCAUGUCUGGGACAUGGCAUCGGCUCGAUAUGAGAGUCAGUGUAAGACCAUGUCUGGGACAUGGCAUCGGCUCGAGAUUAGUUUUGAGUGCCAGUGUAAGACCAUGUCUGGGACAUGGCAUCGGCACCGAUAUGUGAUCCCAUGUAAGACCAUAUCUAGGAUAUGGCAUUGGCCUCCUACCAGGUGUACAAGAUAUCCCGAACACCCCUAAUAUUACAAGUAGUUCAACGGGAAAUUCAAGGAGUAUGCUCAAGAUAAGUAAGAGUAGGAUAUGUGAGUAUUAUGACUAGGCACAGGUAUGUAUAUGAGACUCAUAAAUAAUGUGCUCAGAUUAUGAUGCAUUAUUGAUAAGGAUGCAAACGAGUAAGGUGUGUCUAUGAUCGCUUGAUUGUUAUGUGCCAAGACAUGAUAUGCUUUGGUGUAAGUGUAUAUAAAUGAAAGUGA